rnacentral:rRNA from 1 species
GUGGGGAAUAUUGGACAAUGGGCGCAAGCCUGAUCCAGCCAUGCCGCGUGAGUGAUGAAGGCCCUAGGGUUGUAAAGCUCUUUCACCGGUGAAGAUAAUGACGGUAACCGGAGAAGAAGCCCCGGCUAACUUCGUGCCAGCAGCCGCGGUAAUACGAAGGGGGCUAGCGUUGUUCGGAAUUACUGGGCGUAAAGCGCACGUAGGCGGGUAUUUAAGUCAGGGGUGAAAUCCCGGAGCUCAACUCCGGAACUGCCUUUGAUACUGGGUACCUAGAGUAUGGAAGAGGUAAGUGGAAUUCCGAGUGUAGAGGUGAAAUUCGUAGAUAUUCUGAGGAACACCAGUGGCGAAGGCGGCUUACUGGUCCAUUACUGACGCUGAGGUGCGAAAGCGUGGGGAGCAAACAGGAUUAGAAACCCUUGUAGUCC